GUCAAUGAUGACUAAAUCCAUGUAUUUUGAGGUGUAGUGAAGCCAAGUCCCUGUUUUUACAGGGAGAACCUACCUGGUUAAGCUGCAUUCCAUAUGAAAUUAAUAAAAAUUUGUCUUGAGGC